GGGCUGGGGCUCAGUGGCAGAGCACUUGCCUAACAUGUGUGAGGCACUGGGUUCGAUCCUCAGCAUCACA
rnacentral:tRNA from 1 species